rnacentral:rRNA from 1 species
GAUGAACGCUAGCGGCAGGCUUAAUACAUGCAAGUCGAGGGACAGCACAGGUAGCAAUACUGGGUGGUAACCGGCAAACGGGUGCGGAACACGUACACAACCUUCCUUUAAGUGGGGGAUAGCCCAGAGAAAUUUGGAUUAAUACCCCGUAAUAUAGUUGAAUGGCAUCAUUUGAUUAUUAUAGCUACGGCGCUUAAUGAUGGGUGUGCGGGUGAUUAGAUAGUUGGCGGGGUAACGGACCACCAAGUCUACGAUCAGUAGGUGAUGUGAGAGGAUGAUCAGCCACACGGGCACUGAGACACGGGCCAGACUCCUACGGGAGGCAGCAGUAAGGAAUAUUGGUCAAUGGAAGCAAGUCUGAACCAGCCAUGCCGCGUGAAGGAUUAAGGUCCUCUGGAUUGUAAACUUCUUUUAUUUGGGACGAAAAAGGGCCUUUCUAGGUCAACUGACGGUACCAGAUGAAUAAGCACCGGCUAACUCCGUGCCAGCCGCCGCCGUAAUAC